rnacentral:rRNA from 1 species
AUUGAACGCUGGCGGAAUGCUUUACACAUGCAAGUCGAACGGCAGCACGGGGCAACCUGGUGGCGAGUGGCGAACGGGUGAGUAAUAUAUCGGAACGUGCCCAAUCGUGGGGAUAACGUAGCGAAAGUUACGCUAAUACCGCAUACGAUCUACGGAUGAAAGCGGGGGAUCGCAAGACCUCGCGCGAAUGGAGCGGCCGAUAUCAGAUUAGGUAGUUGGUGGGGUAAAGGCUCACCAAGCCAACGAUCUGUAGCUGGUCUGAGAGGACGACCAGCCACACUGGAACUGAGACACGGUCCAGACUCCUACGGGAGGCAGCAGUGGGGAAUUUUGGACAAUGGGCGCAAGCCUGGUCCAGCCAUUCCGCGUGCAGGAUGAAGGCCUCGGUUGUAAACUGCUUUGUACGGUAACGAAACGGUACUGCCCUAAUACGGCAGGC